AUUUCUUUUCUUUCUCUAUCUCGCUACUCUCGCUAUAUAUAUAUAUAUAUUAUUUACACUCCAACAAUAACAAAACUCUGGCUCGUUUUAAGUGUUUUAACUCCCGAUCACCGCUACCCUUUCCGAUUGAUCUGGAGCCCCAUAACGCAUGUCAAGGCUCUGCCCGACUAAGUUCCUUGGGGUUCGGUCUCAUGACAUAGGGAUAAGGUUGAAUUAGGGGUACUAUACUUAACACGAGUGCAUUAUAUAUUUUUAAAAUAGCUCAGAAGUUAUACCCAAGAUUCUACCAGGAGGCUUUCUAGUUGAACCCUAAAGUUACAAAGAGUGGUUGGAAGGAAAAGAAUCGGAUAACAUGCAAAUUUUAUGUUUGUUGUUUAAAGGGCAUGUGGUGGAAGGAUGACACAGAGCCGCAUAAGAUGGGUGCGACAUGGUGGUGAUAGCAAAGAUUGCGGUUGUAUUUAUAGGCAAUGUAAUGGUUUGAAAUGAACAUAUAUGCUUUUCAGAUUAUUAUUCGAAUACAUGAAUAAUUAAUGUAUAUUUUUUACUUCGUAAA